rnacentral:rRNA from 1 species
GUGUCAGCAGCCGCGGUAAGACAGAGGUGGCAAGCGUUGUUCGGAUUCAUUGGGUGUAAAGGGCAGGUAGGUGGUCAUGUAAGUCUGGUGUGAAAUCCCAGGGCUCAACCCUGGAACUGCAUUGGAAACUGCGUGACUUGAGUACCGGAGAGGUGAGGGGAAUUCUCGGUGUAAGGGUGAAAUCUGUAGAUAUCGAGAGGAACACCAGUGGCGAAGGCGCCUCACUGGCCGGUUACUGACACUGAGCUGCGAAAGCAAGGGGAGCAAACAGGAUUAGAUACCCUGGUAGUCC